rnacentral:rRNA from 1 species
UACAGAGGGUGCAAGCGUUAAUCGGAAUUACUGGGCGUAAAGCGCACGUAGGCGGUUUUUUAAGUCAGAUGUGAAAGCCCCGGGCUCAACCUGGGAAUUGCAUUUGAAACUGGGGAACUAGAGUGUGUGAGAGGGGGGUAGAAUUCCAAGUGUAGCGGUGAAAUGCGUAGAGAGUUGGAGGAAUACCAGUGGCGAAGGCGGCCA